AUUGAACGCUGGCGGCAUGCUUUACACAUGCAAGUCGAACGGUAACAGGUCUUUCGGGAUGCUGACGAGUGGCGAACGGGUGAGUAAUGUAUCGGAACGUGCCCAGUAGUGGGGGAUAACUACUCGAAAGAGUGGCUAAUACCGCAUGAGAUCUCUGGAUGAAAGCGGGGGACCGUAAGGCCUCGCGCUACUGGAGCGGCCGAUAUCAGAUUAGGUUGUUGGUGAGGUAAAGGCUCACCAAGCCGACGAUCUGUAGCUGGUCUGAGAGGACGACCAGCCACACUGGGACUGAGACACGGCCCAGACUCCUACGGGAGGCAGCAGUGGGGAAUUUUGGACAAUGGGCGCAAGCCUGAUCCAGCAAUGCCGCGUGCAGGACCGAAGGCC
rnacentral:rRNA from 1 species